AAUCCAUGAUGAUGACACUUCUUCAAUAAAUCCUUAAACCUCUACCAUGUUUCAUAAAGUGCCUCAAUAUCAAAUUGAAUAAAAAAAGAGAUGUAUUUCCUCAACUU
rfam:Gossypium hirsutum cultivar TM-1 chromosome 16, whole genome shotgun sequence